UAUAAAUUUGGGAAGUCCAACAGGAUCUACGGCUACCGGUUGUUAACCAUGGAAAUGGUAUGGCCAACACUUCAAAGACUUAGUGUUUCUGGAGGUCCCAGCCAGGUAAGUUUGAGAUGACUCAGACAUCGGCAUUAUUGACGCCCAUCUAAGCAUCUAUCCUAGCAUGAGGUUUUCCUCUGGUUAUGCCAAAGCUCUUUCAUGUUCUUAUUUUGUGUUGAAUGAAAACAUCGGAAUUUCCAGAAUCCCGGAUAUCUGCAUUUGAAAGACCUCAAUGGGGGACUCGGAGGUCCUUGACUUUGCCGAGCUUCAGUAAGGAGGGACAUGUCUCCUCUCUUAGGACUGUUGGGAGGACUAAGUACAACCAUACAUGUCAGUCCUGGAACAAGGCCCUGUUCAUUCCUUCAUCAGUCAGAUUUUCCUCGCUGAGACCAGACGCCAGAGAGAGAAACUCAGAGGAGCAUGUUCCAAAGCUUCUGAGGCCUUGGUCUGAUUCUGGCGGAGCAGAGGGGACAGAGGAAUACAGGAGAGGCCCAGGGAAAGCAAGCAGUAGCACUGAGGACGACAUCUCCAGUGACCGCUGCCUCCUGACUUUCACCAGUUCCCAAUGAGGCCGUCUAUGUUAACGGCUCUGGCAGGGGAAUCUAUCCACUGACAGUGUUAGAGUCCUCAGGAUCGGAUCAUUCUCCCAGACCCAUCAGCCGGGAACCAAGUCACUAACAGUUCCUACUC
rnacentral:lncRNA from 1 species